GACGAACCGUCCAAACGUUGUUCGGAAUCACUGGGCGUAAAGGGUGCGUAGGCGGGUCUUUAAGUCAGGGGUGAAAUCCUGGAGCUCAACUCCAGAACUGCCUUUGAUACUGAAGAGCUUGAGUCCGGGAGAGGUGAGUGGAACUGCGAGUGUAGAGGUGAAAUUCGUAGAUAUUCGCAAGAACACCAGUGGCGAAGGCGGCUCACUGGCCCGGUACUGACGCUGAGGUGCGAAAGCGUGGGGAGCAAACAGG
rnacentral:rRNA from 1 species